rnacentral:rRNA from 1 species
GGUUAAGCGACUAAGCGUACACGGUGGAUGCCCUGGCAGUCAGAGGCGAUGAAGGACGUGCUAAUCUGCGAUAAGCGUCGGUAGGUGAUAUGAACCGUUAUAACCGGCGAUUUCCGAAUGGGAAACCCAGUGUGAUUCGUCACACUAUCAUUAACUGAAUCCAUAGGUUAAUGAGGCGAACCGGGGAACUGAAACAUCUAAGUACCCCGAGGAAAAGAAAUCAACCGAGAUUCCCCCAGUAGCGGCGAGCGAACGGGAGCAGCCCAGAGCCUGAAUCAGUGUGUGUGUUAGUGGAAGCGUCUGGAAAGGCGCGCGAUACAGGGUGACAGCCCCGUACACAAAAAUGCACAUGCUGUGAGCUCGAUGAGUAGGGCGGGACACGUGGUAUCCUGUCUGAAUAUGGGGGGACCAUCCUCCAAGGCUAAAUACUCCUGACUGACCGAUAGUGAACCAGUACCGUGAGGGAAAGGCGAAAGAACCCCGGCGAGGGGAGUGAAAAAGAACCUGGAAACCGUGUACGUACAAGCAGUGGGAGCACGCUUAGGCGUGUGACUGCGUACCUUUGUAUAAUGGGUCAGCGACUUAUAUUCUGUAGCAAGGUUAACCGAAUAGGGGAGCCGAAGGGAAACCGAGUCUUAACUGGGCGUUAAGUUGCAGGGUAUAGACCCGAAACCCGGUGAUCUAGCCAUGGGCAGGUUGAAGGUUGGGUAACACUAACUGGAGGACCGAACCGACUAAUGUUGAAAAAUUAGCGGAUGACUUGUGGCUGGGGGUGAAAGGCCAAUCAAACCGGGAGAUAGCUGGUUCUCCCCGAAAGCUAUUUAGGUAGCGCCUCGUGAAUUCAUCUCCGGGGGUAGAGCACUGUUUCGGCAAGGGGGUCAUCCCGACUUACCAACCCGAUGCAAACUGCGAAUACCGGAGAAUGUUAUCACGGGAGACACACGGCGGGUGCUAACGUCCGUCGUGAAGAGGGAAACAACCCAGACCGCCAGCUAAGGUCCCAAAGUCAUGGUUAAGUGGGAAACGAUGUGGGAAGGCCCAGACAGCCAGGAUGUUGGCUUAGAAGCAGCCAUCAUUUAAAGAAAGCGUAAUAGCUCACUGGUCGAGUCGGCCUGCGCGGAAGAUGUAACGGGGCUAAACCAUGCACCGAAGCUGCGGCAGCGACACUAUGUGUUGUUGGGUAGGGGAGCGUUCUGUAAGCCUGUGAAGGUGUGCUGUGAGGCAUGCUGGAGGUAUCAGAAGUGCGAAUGCUGACAUAAGUAACGAUAAAGCGGGUGAAAAGCCCGCUCGCCGGAAGACCAAGGGUUCCUGUCCAACGUUAAUCGGGGCAGGGUGAGUCGACCCCUAAGGCGAGGCCGAAAGGCGUAGUCGAUGGGAAACAGGUUAAUAUUCCUGUACUUGGUGUUACUGCGAAGGGGGGACGGAGAAGGCUAUGUUGGCCGGGCGACGGUUGUCCCGGUUUAAGCGUGUAGGCUGGUUUUCCAGGCAAAUCCGGAAAAUCAAGGCUGAGGCGUGAUGACGAGGCACUACGGUGCUGAAGCAACAAAUGCCCUGCUUCCGGGAAAAGCCUCUAAGCAUCAGGUAACAUCAAAUCGUACCCCAAACCGACACAGGUGGUCAGGUAGAGAAUACCAAGGCGCUUGAGAGAACUCGGGUGAAGGAACUAGGCAAAAUGGUGCCGUAACUUCGGGAGAAGGCACGCUGAUAUGUAGGUGAGGUCCCUCGCGGAUGGAGCUGAAAUCAGUCGAAGAUACCAGCUGGCUGCAACUGUUUAUUAAAAACACAGCACUGUGCAAACACGAAAGUGGACGUAUACGGUGUGACGCCUGCCCGGUGCCGGAAGGUUAAUUGAUGGGGUCAGCGCAAGCGAAGCUCUUGAUCGAAGCCCCGGUAAACGGCGGCCGUAACUAUAACGGUCCUAAGGUAGCGAAAUUCCUUGUCGGGUAAGUUCCGACCUGCACGAAUGGCGUAAUGAUGGCCAGGCUGUCUCCACCCGAGACUCAGUGAAAUUGAACUCGCUGUGAAGAUGCAGUGUACCCGCGGCAAGACGGAAAGACCCCGUGAACCUUUACUAUAGCUUGACACUGAACAUUGAGCCUUGAUGUGUAGGAUAGGUGGGAGGCUUGGAAGUGUGGACGCCAGUCUGCAUGGAGCCGACCUUGAAAUACCACCCUUUAAUGUUUGAUGUUCUAACGUUGACCCGUAAUCCGGGUUGCGGACAGUGUCUGGUGGGUAGUUUGACUGGGGCGGUCUCCUCCUAAAGAGUAACGGAGGAGCACGAAGGUUGGCUAAUCCUGGUCGGACAUCAGGAGGUUAGUGCAAUGGCAUAAGCCAGCUUGACUGCGAGCGUGACGGCGCGAGCAGGUGCGAAAGCAGGUCAUAGUGAUCCGGUGGUUCUGAAUGGAAGGGCCAUCGCUCAACGGAUAAAAGGUACUCCGGGGAUAACAGGCUGAUACCGCCCAAGAGUUCAUAUCGACGGCGGUGUUUGGCACCUCGAUGUCGGCUCAUCACAUCCUGGGCUGAAGUAGGUCCCAAGGGUAUGGCUGUUCGCCAUUUAAAGUGGUACGCGAGCUGGGUUUAGAACGUCGUGAGACAGUUCGGUCCCUAUCUGCCGUGGGCGCUGGAGAACUGAGGGGGCUGCUCCUAGUACGAGAGGACCGGAGUGGACGCAUCACUGGUGUUCGGGUUGUCAUGCCAAUGGCACUGCCCGGUAGCUAAAUGCGGAAGAGAUAAGUGCUGAAAGCAUCUAAGCACGAAACUUGCCCCGAGAUGAGUUCUCCCUGACCCUUUAAGGGUCCUGAAGGAACGUUGAAGACGACGACGUUGAUAGGCCGGGUGUGUAAGCGCAGCGAUGCGUUGAGCUAACCGGUACUAAUGAACCGUGAGGCUUAACCUU